UGUGUAUGAAAUGACAGACAAAGGUUUGUUUAUCAUUCAGAGAUUAUGUUUAUUAUGUGCAUAUGAACAGGAUACAUUAACAGCAAAAUAACAGCAGGUUUUAGUAGCACAGAAGCUAGCUCGCAUAGAAAGUGUAUCGUGAAAUAUGAAUGUUUGAUCAUUUCAAAGUACAAAUCAACUUGUAGCUCUUCUCAUUAACAUUUAACAUGCUUGUCCCAUAAAUUAGGCACAAAGAUGUUAACACAGAAAAACUGUGUACAGUGUUGUGCUCAAUAACACAACACAUACACAAACAUCAUGAACAGCCAGGUUUCAACACUGUCUUUUACCUCCUCUGAGAGGAGGCAAUACUGAGCUUCCACAGAUCACAGGUUGUAAUAAUGUCAAGUUAAGUAUAUUAAUGUUCACACUGUUACAUUCAAGAUCAAAUCUGCACACAUUUAAACAGGAGUUCAGGAAAUGUUUACAGCUACAGGAAGCAAAGAAAAACAUUCAAGAGUAACACGUUUAAACUUUAUCGAUAAACUGGUAUAAAAAAUAAAAUAAUAAAUAAUCUUGACGUGUUUAAACUGAAGAGUCUCCUUCAUGGAGGAACAAGUUAAGGCUUCAUAGAUCAGAGGAGGAAACAUGUGACCCUGCAGCUCCAUGUAACACAUUUCUCUUUGGUUUCAUAAUAAUAUCAGAUUAUUCAGUCACUCAGUUCUAGCUGAUAAAUGGACCCUGAGCACUUUGUGUUGUGUUACUGACACAGUGGCUUUCAGGGGUGUUUUUUUUUUAAACCUAAAUUUUAAUCGCAUGACAGACUGUGAGAAAUUUAGAAAAAGCUAAGAGUCAGAUCGAGAACACAGAAAUGUCUGCUGUAAUUACUCUGCUCUGUGUUGUAGUGUCAGGAGUCAGUAUACAGCUACAAAGCUUUUUGUUCAGUGUAUACAAACAGCUGUAGCUCCAUAAAGGCAGCAUGCAGAGACUCACAGUGUCUUAUAAUGAGAGGCUGCUUUCUCUCACACAUUAUGUUCACUGAUUAUCAGCACAUGUUGUUGUUCUGUGGAAGCUGCAGGAUCUCAAAUCAUUAUGUAAAAACAAGAAACUACAGGUCUCUAGAUUCUUUUCAAAAUCAUCUUGUGCUGAUGUUCGAACCUCUCUGAGGACUUCAGGGGCGCCAAACACUGGAGUAUAAAUCUAUAGAGAAUAGAUAAUAAUAAUAUUAAUACUAAUAAUUGGGAGGCGGACGCACCUGAGCGGCACCCGCAAUCACGCCUCGCCGCCUUUACAUCUGUGCUCUCUAUGCUGUUGUGUUGGUAUGUGUCGGGCUGUGAGCUGAAAAGCUGCAGCCGGCUGUAUGCGUACAGCAACCGUGUGUGAAAAGUGGUCAAUAAAGAGAUGCUGAAAAGCAUGUUCAUGCAAAUCUAAACAUGAGGAUCAGUCUGUGAGUCUGACCUUACAAACAGCUGAACCUGAAGAUGAAACAAACUCACUGAUAUUUUAACAGAGACAACAAACUUUGUUUGAAUGAUGAAGUCCUGAAUGUUCCACAUAGAAAUAAGGCAAAGGUGUAAAUAACACUGUUUAAGGACAUAAACUCUUCCACUGAGAUGAGCGACUAACCUGGAAGCUAAAACAAACUAAUAACUAAUACUGAUGCACACAAAGCAAACAAACAAACAAAAACAGUAACUUCAAAUCACCGACAGCUGACUGAUGUCUGUCCUCAGAUCAUCUUCUGAAUGUUCAAUAACAAUAAAUGAACUCUGGCUCAUCAGGAGACUCAGACUCCAGGAGCUCAGCUGUAAGAAACUCACAUUUCAAACAGGCUGCAGUUCAGCAGGAAUCUGGUAUGGAUCCUGACUCUUUGUUUUCUCACGUUUUCUGCAGACCAAAAAUCCAGCAACAGCAGCAACAAGAAGCACAGCAAGAAAUGACAGACCAACGAUCAGUCCAACAGAUCCUCCUGUCUGACCUGCAGGUGAGAAACAGGUGUGAGGUGUCAGCUGUCAGGUAGGUGAUGAGUGAAGAACAGAACAGAAUCCAUUUCCUCUUCAAACUGCUGUCAGACAUUAUCUACUGCACUCUGAUCACAUCACUCAGACCAGCUGCUUUCUACAAAGUCUCAUCAACAACAUCUUUAGAAACAAACAUCAACAACCAGGAAGCAGCUUCACCUCUGAUCACACACACACUCAACUCUACUCACUCACCUGGAGGAUCAACAUGAAGGUAGAUGAUGCUGAUGAGCUUCAAACUGGAUAUCUCUUGGUUUGGUUCUUUUUGGGCAACUCGACACUCGUAUGUUCCAGUGUCAUUAAUCGUCACAUUCUUCAGAAUCAAAGACACGUCUCCAUCCUUCAUCUGUCUGUCCUGCAGAUCCACACGGUUCUUAAAAGAUGGAUGCUGGCGGUCUGGAACAAACUGCUCAUCCCGGUAAAAAAGGACAUAUUUUGUUCCCAGGUCAGCUCUGCUCCAGUUUACUGCUAUAAUGUUGUUUGAAGCUCGACAUGUCAGAGUGACGUUCUGUCCAGACUCAGCUGUGAUGAUUUCCUGGUCUGAAAGAGGAAACAACACAGAGCAGAGAGGUUAAAGGUCAAAGUACAACUGUCUACUUUGACAGCAGCUACACAUAUACAAUUAUUAUCUAUUCUCUGUAGAUUUAUACUCCAGUGUUUGGUGCCCCUGAAGUCCUCAGAGAGGUUCAAACAUCAGCACAAGAUGAUUUUGAAAAGAAUCUAGAGACCUAUAGUUUCUUGUUUUUACAUAAUGAUUUGAGAUCCUGCAGCUUCCACAGAACAACAACAUGUGCUGAUAAUAAGUGAACAUAAUGUGUGAGAGAAAGCAGCCACUCAUUAUAAGACACUGUGAGUCUCUGCAUGCUGCCUUUAUGGAGCUACAGCUGUUUGUAUACACUGAACAAAAAGCUUUGUAGCUGUAUACUGACUCCUGACACUACAACACAUCACACAGACACACACAGCCUCCUGUUUCCUUCUCACACACAAAGAAACAGUCAGGAUGAAAAUUAGUCUCAGGGAAAUAUGUUUAAUAUGCAGCCAGUACUUCCUGUUUUAUGUCAAAGUUAAAUCUCACCUGCAGAGACGAACACGGCAAACAUCAAAGUGGAGCAGAGUGACGUAAUUACAGCAAACAUUUCCGGGUUCUUGAUCUGACUCUUAGCUUUUUCUAAAUGUCUCAGUCUGUCAUGAGAUUAAAAUUUAGGCUUAAAAAGCAGUUGGAUCAGUAACGUUGGUUUACAGGAAGUUGUGUCAUUGUGACGUUUGGUGCGCUGCACUGCGGGGUCGAGCAGAAACAAGUGCGUCACAACAGAAGAGGUGAAGUCGAAAGAAAGUUUUAUUGCUUCAGUUCUUGAAGCAUCCUGGCAGGAAAGAUCUGAACCUGUUUCAUGUGUCAGUCGUCAUGUAUGAACAGUUUGUGUCUUUGAAUCAGAAGUUUGUUUUGUCUCUGCACCGAGUUUGUUUCCCACAGCAAGUUUCAAGCUCACAUCCUGCUCCGCCUCUUCCUGAUUCAGCUUCAGCUCCGAGGUCGGAGGUCUGUGUCUGCCGAGCAGCUUAUCAAACAACACCGCGACAUAACUCUGACUAACCUGAGAACCAGCAGCAGCCUGCACCAGUUUACAAAACCAGUAGCCUGUGUAAAUCACCAGUUCAUCCAGUGCUGUCCAAUUCAAAGAACAAAGAAUCACCAGUUUUAGAAUUUGAGGUUUUCUGCUAAAUUUCCUCCUUUUCUAUGGAGGUGAAUUGUAAAGUGAAACCUUCAAACAGAUUUUUUAGCUUAAAAGACUAAAAGUGAGUUUUAGAAACAGAAAGAAAAACUUACUGUUGUUGUGAAGGACGUCUGGAAGCCUCAAAGGCCUCUGUGGUCAUCAGGGUGGAAAAUCUAAAGAAAAUAAAACACAUUAGAUUUCUGUGUCUCUGUCACAG
ensembl:lncRNA